AAGGAUAUAGUUCAAUUGGUAGAACAUCGGUCUUCAAAACCGAGUGUUGUGAGUUCAAGUCUUACUAUCCUUGCCA
rnacentral:tRNA from 1 species